rnacentral:rRNA from 1 species
UGAAGCGGGAAGAGCUCAAAUUUCCAAUCUGGUAGGCUACGCUUGUCCGAAUUGUAAUCUCGAGAAGUGUUUUCCGCGUUGGCCUGUGUACAAGUCCCUUGGAACAGGGCGUCAUAGAGGGUGAGAAUCCCGUCCUUGACACAGACACCCAAUGCUUUGUGAUACACUCUCAAUGAGUCGAGUUGUUUGGGAAUGCAGCUCAAAAUGGGUGGUAAAUUCCAUCUAAAGCUAAAUACUGGCGAGAGACCGAUAGCGAACAAGUACCGUGAGGGAAAGAUGAAAAGCACUUUGGAAAGAGAGUCAAACAGUACGUGAAAUUGUUGAAAGGGAAACGAUUGAAGUCAGUCGUGCCUGCCUAGAUUCAGCCUUCUGGUGUAUUUCUAGGUCGGCAGGUCAGCAUCAGUUUGGGGGGGUUAACAAGGGAGCUGGGAAUGUGGCAACCUCGGUUGUGUUAUAGCCCAGUUUCGCAUUGAUCUCGCUGGACUGAGGAACGCAGUGCGCCCGCAAGGGUUGGUCUUCGGACACAUUCGCACUUAGGAUGCUGGCAUAAUGGCUUUAAACGAC